rnacentral:rRNA from 1 species
UACGAAGGGUGCAAACGUUGCUCGGAAUCAUUGGGCGUAAAGCGCACGUAGGCGGCUUCGCAAGUCGGAUGUGAAAUCCCUCGGCUCAACCAAGGACGUGCAUUCGAAACUGCGGAGCUUGAGUAUGGAAGAGGGUCGCGGAAUUCCCGGUGUAGAGGUGAAAUUCGUAGAUAUCGGGAGGAACACCAGUGGCGAAGGCGGCGACCUGGGCCAAUACUGACGCUGAGGUGCGAAAGCGUGGGGAGCAAACAGG